GAAACUCAAACACAAAAUGAAGAAUAAGAGGUGUUAUACGGGGAGGGCAUCACCUUUAGCAGUUGGUAGAAGUACUUGUGUUCAAGUUUGACUCAGAAAAUGCCAUUUUUCCAUGUUGUAUAGUUCCUGGGUGGUGUGACACAAUAGCAGGGAGGAACAAAAGUGAGGGGUGGCAGUGCCUUGUAACCCCAAAGUCCAUAGGAACUGGGGGCAAUGCCCAUCCAUUAUAUGACCCAAGGAGUAAGGCAUGAUUUUGUAGGCUUGGUUGUCACUCCCCAGAUACCCACACCAUACUGCCAGCAGUGCAGUGCUGUACCGUAUGGCAGUGACGUCCCCCAUGAAGCUCGGCUGCCUCUGCAUGGAGAACCCAGGGCCCAGCAAAGGCUCUUCAGGUGCCUGGUAGGGUCAGGGGGAUGCUGAUGCCUCUGAGCUUGUUAAAUCCUGUCUGUCUUUUGUGUGUGAUAGGCAAACAACAAUUUUUUAAAGCUUUAAGGCUGCGUAUGGCCUUCUUACAGUCUUUUUGUACCCGGUUGAAGAUGUGUAAACAGACUGCCCCAAAGAGAGGCUGGCAAUACAACAAUCCCAUUCACGAUAUCCCAGGGUGGCAUCACCCAGGGAGGUCACCCUAAAUGCAAGAAAAUGACGAUUGUUAGUGGUGGACCAGGGCUGACAUAAACCCUGGGGAGGGCCUUCAGCGAGGAGUAGGCAAUGGGGACCACCUGAGGUCCUGGCCAAGCUCAGCAGAUGGAGGCUGGGCCGUGCCCCAGGUGUCCCAGCACAGCUGUCCUCCACAGCUCCUUGGCCUCAGCAGCGCAGCUGCAUGGUGGCCCUGUGAGGUUGCUUGGCCUCCUGCACGUGCCUGAAUCAUGCAAGAACAGCAGGUGGCUAACGAGGGUCCGUCGGCCACCCCGUGAUGGCGGACAUGUCCCAGGGACCGAGUGCAGUUUAGGAUUUGGGCCUGCACAAGUCCUGGAGCAGGAAGCCCUCAUGGUGUACACGGUCAGGAUCCACCAGUGUUUAGUUUCUCUUGUGGAGGUGAUGUGAAGCUUAUAAACUUAUUAAUGCCAGUCACCAGUGCUCCUCCUUGGUAUUCAGUGUAAUCUUCAGGAAGUGCCCACCAGCUCUCAGUAAUCCUGUCCUUGGAAAGUUAUCACAACCAUUUGACAAAAGCUUUCCAACAUCUCCCACUCCCUUUACUAUCGUAGGAUGUGAUUUAUCAUUGCAGUCCAGGUGAUCUGACAACUUUUAAGAGUACUAAUUGCCUUAUUAUCCACUCCAGUGCAAGAGUAAAACCUUUUGACAUUUUACUUCCUUCCCUGAGGAAAACAAAUCCUGGUUCCUGGGACAUUACCUUCUGCUGCCUCUGUGAUUACUGGGGCGAAGAAUUUCUCUAGGCCAUUUGCCUUAUCAGCCUCAUCUGUCACCAGCUUCCCAGUCCCUACUCUCAGUUCCCCCUCACUGCUUUGCAUCCUCCGUUAUUUCAUGUAUUUCCAUAUUUUUUUCUUUUGUUUUUUAUUUGUCAUGUCAAUGUUCAUCACAUAUUCCAUUCCUUUUUUUUUUUUCUAUCAAUGUGCUUUUUCACAUCAGGCUCUGUGAUACCUUGCUUCAGUUUUUACUAUUUUUAUAUUAGUGUAGG
ensembl:lncRNA